GUGUGUGUGUGUGUGUGUGUGUGUGUGUGUGUGUGUGUUUGUUUUUAUUACAUGGUGGGGACCUCAGCAUGUUAGCACACUCACAAAGUGGGGACCAAAAACAUAGUGGGGACCGUACGCCUGGUCCCCACUAUGUUUUGCCUUUAAAAGACUCAGGGGGCGUUGCUGAUAUGCCUAGUGCUGUUUUUUUCAUUGAUCCCCACCUUGACCAAUCACCUGAUUUGAGUGUGUGAGUGUGUGUCGGCGCACUGCUCUAUAGCGCCCCUGUAGUCGGAUGGCGGUACUGCACCCUCACACACACUUGGCGCAAUAUACACACUCUAGCUAUUGCACAUGCGCAGAUCUCCUGAAUAAAUCCGACUUUAAUUAAAUUAAUUAAGGUUCAUCAAAUUAAUCGAGGUUUGCGGAGGCCGGAGUGAAGUGCGUGAGCCGCGGCCGGACGGUCACCACGCCCCGGGCGGCUAAAUGGAUCGACGGAGGAUAAAAUCAUUAAAAGAUGCGGAGAAACACAUCACCAGCUCCACUGACAAGACCCAUUCACUGGAAACCGAUUAUAUAGAAGGUUACUAAGUUUUGCGGCAUUGAUGCCGCUCGUGGCGGGACCCUCGGCCGGCUGGUGAAUGAUGACUAUCUGCACCCAAACUGCACUGUCAAUAAGAUUGUUGUUCAGAGAAAAACCUCACUUGUGCCUUUUUGCAAUCAGGGACAUUUUCCCUGGAGAGGAAAUAACUUUUGACUAUGGCGCAUGUGAUUGGCCUUGGAGAAAGCUUUCAUUGAAGGAUAACCAUAUGACUGCAGAAGAGAACUGCUCCCACAACUCUCUGAUGAG